rnacentral:misc_RNA from 1 species
AAGCCUAGGAUACCAUGUCCAAGACAUGUCUCAACAAUUAUAAUUAUUACAACAAAUUGCAGAUAUGGCAGGACAUGAGGACAUGCAUCUCUACUUCAGACAUGAGACAUGCUCAUUUGGUUUCAAUCAUCAACAUUUAUUGAUCAAGAAAGGAGUGUGUUUGUUAGUUACUUUUGCUCCUAUCAUACUUAAGAGGCAGAAGAGGCCCCUUCUACCCUUCACACGCAGUUAGUAGCUUUUUGCAGGAAACAGCAAUGUAGUAGCUGUGCAUGGUUAUAAA